AGUGAACGCUGGCGGUAGGCCUAACACAUGCAAGUCGAACGGCAGCACAGUAAGAGCUUGCUCUUACGGGUGGCGAGUGGCGGACGGGUGAGGAAUACAUCGGAAUCUACUUUUUCGUGGGGGAUAACGUAGGGAAACUUACGCUAAUACCGCAUACGACCUACGGGUGAAAGCAGGGGAUCUUCGGACCUUGCGCGAUUGAAUGAGCCGAUGUCGGAUUAGCUAGUUGGCGGGGUAAAGGCCCACCAAGGCGACGAUCCGUAGCUGGUCUGAGAGGAUGAUCAGCCACACUGGAACGGAGACACGGUCCAGACUUCGACGGGAGGCAGCAGUGGGGAAUAUUGGACAAUGGGCGGAAGCCUGAUCCAGCCAUACCGCGUGGGUGAAAAAGGCCUUCGGGUUGUAAAGCCCUUUUGUUGGGAAAGAAAAGCAGCAGGUUAAUACCCCGCUGUUCUGACGGUACCCAAAGAAUAAGCACCGGCUAACUUCGUG
rnacentral:rRNA from 1 species